GGAGGUGUAGCUCAGUUGGUUAGAGCGCUUGCUUGACAUGCAAGAGGUCGUUGGUUCAAGUCCAAUCAUCUUCACCA
rnacentral:tRNA from 3 species